rnacentral:lncRNA from 1 species
CUCCAAAUGCUCCUGCCUCAGCCUCCUGAGCCACUGGGAUUAUAGGUGUGCACCACCAUGCCCGGCUGAGACACUGAUCUAACUCUGUAUUUUUUAUUAAAACAGCUCCAUGAGAUAGACCCCAGUCAUUUUGUUACCAGAAUCAAAAGUUUUGCUGCAUGCUGCUCAAAGAAUGUUAGGAAAGCAGAAGUUGAUAGGAAAACAUGUUUAUUCAAAGCCAGACUUGAGGAAGAUAGAGAUCUUUUCUGUCUCAAAUCUCCAAGGAAAGGUGGGGAGGUCAUUGAGGGAACAGCAUUUAUUUAUUUUUUGAUUAAUUUUAUUAAUUCUACUCCACUUGUGUACAAUGAAUUGAAGAACUUUCUGCUGUCAUGUAUAACUGAUCAGUGGAGUAGAAUUUUUGACUUCUCUGGUUAUAUAUGAAGUAGAGUCACACCAUUUCUGUAAUCAUGGUACUUAGGGUAAUGAUGUUCAUCUCAUUCCACCAUCUUUCCUACCCCCAUGCCUCCUCCCCCCUCCCUCAUCCAAAUCUCCUCCACUCAUCCAUGCACCCCCCACCCAUUAUGAAUUAGCAUUUACUUAUCAGAGAAAACAUUUGGCCCCUGGUUUUAUGAGAUUGGCAUAUUUCACUUAGCGUAAUAUUCUCCAACUCCAUCC